rnacentral:rRNA from 1 species
GCUGGCGGCACGCCUUAUACAUGCAAGUCGAACGCAGUAGCAAUACUGAGUGGCAGACGGGUGAGUAUAAUGUGGGAAUCUGCCUUUUGGUUUGGAAUAACUCGGGGAAACUUGAGCUAAUACCAAAUAAGCCCUUACGGGGAAAGCUUUAUGCGCCGAAAGAUGAGCCCGCACUUGAUUAGCUUGUUGGUGAGGUAAUGGCUCACCAAGGCAACAAUCAAUAGCUGUUCUUAGAGGAAGACCAGCCACAUUGGGACUGAGACACGGCCCAGACUCCUACGGGAGGCAGCAGUGGGGAAUCUUGCACAAUGGGGGAAACCCUGAUGCAGCGAUGCCGCGUGAGUGAAGAAGGCCUUUGGCUUGUAAAACUCUUUCGUCGGGGAAGAAAAUGACUGUACCCGAAUAAGAAGGUCCGG